AGAGUUUGAUCAUGGCUCAGAUUGAACGCUGGCGGCAGGCCUCAUACAUGCAAGUUGAACGAGAAAGUAUCUUCGGAUGCGAGUACAGUGGCGGACGGGUGAGUAAUACAUAGGAAUCUACCCAAUGGAGGGGGAUAGCUCGAGGAAACUCGAAUUAAUACCGCAUAAUCUCCACGGAGUAAAGAGGGCUUCGGCUCUCGCCAUCGGAUGAGCCUAUGCAAGAUUAGCUUGUUGGUAAGGUAAUGGCUUACCAAGGCUACGAUCUUUAGCUGGUUUGAGAGGACGACCAGCCACAUCGGGACUGAGACACGGCCCGGACUUCUACGGAAGGCAGCAGUAGGGAAUAUUGGACAAUGAGCGAAAGCUUGAUCCAGCCAUGCCGCGUGUGCGAUGAAGACCUUAGGGUUGUAAAGCACUUUAGGUUAUGAGAAAAGAUUUGGUAUUAAUACCACCAAAUUUUGAUGUUAAUUUCAGAAUAAGCACCGGCUAAAUCCGUGCCAGCCGCCGCGGUAAUAC
rnacentral:rRNA from 1 species